GAAACCGUAGCUAAUACCGGAUAAUAUUUUGAACCGCAUGGUUCAAAAGUGAAAGACGGUCUUGCUGUCACUUAUAGAUGGAUCCGCGCUGCAUUAGCUAGUUGGUAAGGUAACGGCUUACCAAGGCAACGAUGCAUAGCCGACCUGAGAGGGUGAUCGGCCACACUGGAACUGAGACACGGUCCAG
rnacentral:rRNA from 1 species